rnacentral:tRNA from 1 species
GGCCCUAUAGCUCAGGGGUUAGAGCACUGGUUUUGUAAACCUAGGGGUUGCAAGUUCAAAUCUCCCUGGGGCCU